rnacentral:rRNA from 1 species
CCUACGGGAGGCAGCAGUAGGGAAUCUUCGGCAAUGGACGAAAGUCUGACCGAGCAACGCCGCGUGAGUGAAGAAGGUUUUCGGAUCGUAAAACUCUGUUGGUAGAGAAGAAAGGUGGUGAGCGUGGAAAGCCCAUCAAGUGACGGUAACUACCCAGAAAGGGACGGCAAACCACGUGCCAGCAGCUGCGGUAAUACGUAGGUCCCUAGCGUUGUCCGGAUUUAUUGGGGGUAAAGCGAGCGCAGGUGGUUUCUUAAGUCUGGGGUAAAAGGGAGUGGCUCAACCAAUGUAUGCAUUGGAAACUGGUAUGCUUGAGUGCAAGAGAGGUAAGUGGAAUGCCAUGUGUAGCGGUGAAAUGCGUAGAUAUAUCGAGGAACACCGAUGGCGAAAGCGGCUCGCUGGCCUGUAACUGACACUGAGGCUCGAAAGCGUGGGGAGCAAACAGGAUUAGAUACCCGUGUAGUC